rnacentral:rRNA from 1 species
UUGAACGCUGGCUGCAUGCUUUACACAUGCCAGUCGAACGGCAGCGGGGGCUUCGGCCCGCCGGCGAGUGGCGAACGGGUGAGUAAUGCAUCGGAACGUACCCAGUCGUGGGGGAUAACUACGCGAAAGCGUGGCUAAUACCGCAUACGCCCUGAGGGGGAAAGCGGGGGACCUUCGGGCCUCGCGCGAUUGGAGCGGCUGAUGUCGGAUUAGCUAGUUGGUGGGGUAAAGGCCUACCAAGGCGACGAUCCGUAGCGGGUCUGAGAGGAUGAUCAGCCACACUGGGACUGAGACACGGCCCAGAAUCCUACGGGAGGCAGCAGUGGGGAAUUUUGGACAAUGGGGGCAACCCUGAUCCAGCCAUGCCGCGUGAGUGAAGAAGGCCUUCGGGUUGUAAAGCUCUUUCAGACGGAAAGAAAUCGGGUGCGUGAAUAGCGCGCCUGGAUGACGGUACUGUCAGAAGAAGCACCGGCUAACUACGU